rnacentral:lncRNA from 1 species
CAACACUAUCAUCAGCGUACAGCUAAUGACAAGGCUUCCUGUGCAUACUUGGAACCUUAUACUUCCUGUACAUAUCUCCUUAUAGUGUCCUUUUCACAACUUACUCAAAUGUGUCAUCUACUUCAUUUAUACUAUCUUCAUGGCUUGGAUCUACUACAUCUGAGGCCACCCCUGGCUCCUAUCCCAAGGCAGGGUGAAGGGCAUCCUUCUCUUGUGUUAGGUCCUUAGAAAAGCUCACAGCAACCUAUUGCCUAAUCUCAAAUUGCUCCAGGGAAAGCUCAGGUGCAAAGAAAAGAGGCAAUAUAAGU